UACAGAGGUGGCAAGCGUUGUUCGGAAUUACUGGGCGUAAAGGGCGCGUAGGUGGCCUUCUUAGUCAGACGUGAAAUCCCCAGGCUUAACCUGGGAACUGCGUCUGAUACUGGAAGGCUUGAGUUCGGGAGAGGAAUGUGGAAUUCCAGGUGUAGCGGUGAAAUGCGCAGAUAUCGGGAAGAACACCCGUGGCGAAGGCGGCUCUCUGGGACGGUGCUGACGCUGAGACGCGAAAGCGUGGGGAGCGAACAGG
rnacentral:rRNA from 1 species